GAUGAACGCUGGCGGCGUGCCUAAUACAUGCAAGUAGAACGCUGAAGCUUGGUGCUUGCACCGAGCGGAGGAGUUGCGAACGGGUGAGUAACGCGUAGGUAACCUGCCUCUCAGCGGGGGAUAACUAUUGGAAACGAUAGCUAAUACCGCAUAAAAGUCGACAUUGCAUGAUGUUGACUUGAAAGGUGCAAAUGCAUCACUAAGAGAUGGACCUGCGUUGUAUUAGCUAGUUGGUGAGGUAACGGCUCACCAAGGCGACGAUACAUAGCCGACCUGAGAGGGUGAUCGGCCACACUGGGACUGAGACACGGCCCAGACUCCUACGGGAGGCAGCAGUAGGGAAUCUUCGGCAAUGGACGGAAGUCUGACCGAGCAACGCCGCGUGAGUGAAGAAGGUUUUCGGAUCGUAAAGCUCUGUUGUAAGAGAAGAACGAGUGUGAGAGUGGAAAGUUCACACUGUGACGGUAACUUACCAGAAAGGGACGGCUAACUACGUGC
rnacentral:rRNA from 1 species